AGCAAAAAAAUAAAUAAAUUUGAACAUCAGUUUGGAUGUGGGGCCCACCGCAUUAUUGUUCACCCUUAUUUCUCCUCAACAUUUGCGCAGAUUUCAUUCUCCCCAUGAGGAGAUUAUUUUCUUCUCAUUAGUGUAGGUUAUUUGUAUUUUUUUUUCACACUUAUUUUUUCUCAUGUACAUUUUUUACCUCAUUGGUGUGAAUGCUCUUAGGCAAAACUUUUACCUUUUUUUUUAAAAAAAAAAAAAAAAAUAUUACUUGCACUAGUACGGGUAGUACCUUUACAAAAAUGAAAAUUCGAGAAUAUUUAAAUGUCAUUCUGUGAUAAAUUGCAUAACGAAAUGAGUUAUGGACACCAACAUUGAGAAAGAUACACCUUGCUCUUCUAUUGCCGUUGAAUCUAUUGUUCGUAUUGGAACAGCAGGAGCACUCUGGGGUUUGUGUUCUGGAUCAUAUGAUGCUAACAAAUUAGGUCUUGCUGGCUUUUCUCGUGCUUCGUUUGUGGCAAAAUCGAUUGGCGUAACUAGCUUUCAAUGUGGAAUGUUUGCCGGAGUUUUUUCCUUGACUCGCUGUGGAAUCCAAAGUUAUCGAGGGCGUGAAGAUGUGUUAAAUGCUGCUGCUGCAGGUGCUAUAGUUGGAGCUGCUAUUGCUGUCGGGACUCGUAGCAAGAAGGAGGUUGCUGGAGUGGCUGCUCUUCUUUCCAUUUUAGGUGCAGCAGCUGAUUAUUCCAGGACACUGUGAUUUUUGAAAUUAUUUUACCAAGGAACUUAGAUGGGACUUUCUCAAACUUGAUGCUUUGUUGAAAGGUCGUGAAGGAAGACAUGUAAAAUGAGAAAUAGCCCAGCCUGUGUGGCCAAUUGUAAUUCACAGGGGAACUGGAAUUUAUAGGUCAUUUACAAGAAGUCAAGACCCAAGAUUAACGUCGAAGGAAGAAAUUCAAACUCAGCAGCUGAUGGAUUAGCUAAAUUUGCUAGGAAUUAUCCUUGAACCAAUAGCAGAUGUAUCUUGCUAACCACUCCUAGUGUGUAUUGACAUAGGUUCUUGAUAUUGACUCUAAUUUUUAUUGGAAAUAACUAGUUUUAGUCUCGUGCUUUAUUCUUCACUGUUUGAUUUAA